rnacentral:lncRNA from 1 species
AUGGCCCUCAGCAUCCCCCUCACACGCCGGCUCCUGACAUCAGAGACCUGUAGCCACCCCCUGCAGGCAGUCAUCAGCGUGGUCCUCAACUCCUGCCAAGGGCAGCGGGCUGUGCACUCAGGCAGCUGGGACCAAAGCCACCGAGGAACCAAGGCUGGAGCCGGCGACCUGAUGAACCCCCUGGGUUUUUCUGCCCUGCUGGCUCUGGGAAGGCAAGAACGAAAGUGUCAUUUAGUGGCAGAGACUUUAGGGAGCCUGGUAUGGCCAAGCCCUAGCUCCCUGCAGCAGUGCCCCCAGGACAGCUGGGCCUGGGUCUCCAGUGGGUUGGAGUUUUCUGAACGCGGCUGUGGGUUGACCUCGCACCCGGUGACCACACCAGGAGGUGAGGCAUGCGUGGCCCAGCGCGGGGGCCCUGCCCGUGGCCGUGUGGGGUCGGGUGUCCGGCUCGGGGCUUCUGGGUCCCCUGCUCCCCAAAGGUGUGCAGCUCCUGCAUCCCCUGCCAGGUCCUCUGGGUCUAAGAGGGUCCCUCUUGUCCAGCGCGCCAGGCUCCACCUUCCCGCGACCCCUCACCAGCUGGGUGCCUCCCCCUGGCUGGAACAGCAGCCCUGCCUGGUCAUGGGCCUGCCUCUCCACUGUGUCCUCCCUGACACAGCCAGAGCCAUGCUUCUAACCUGCACACCCUCUCCCCGCGGCCAAGCCCACCAGACACCAGGCGGCUGUAAAUGGCCCACUGGGCCUGCUGUGUAGAAUGGGACCCUCUGCCCUGUUUUCCCAGGAGGCUCUUACAUGGGGCUGCAGCUGGGGGGUGACAUGCCUGCCAAGUGUGUGGGGAGGCUCCAGCCCGGUAAGAUGGGAUCCAGGACUGUGAGACUGUGACCCAGGGCAGGUGGUGGCAGCUCGGCCUUCCUGGUCCCAGGUGGAGAGACAGGGUGAGGCUCCUCCUCGUGGGACCUGGAGGGGAGGGGUUGCCUGUGUAAUCAGCCCAGCCUCGGACGUCAGCAAUCCAUGCUUCUUAGGAAAGGCCACAGGGAAUCACAGACUCGGUGUGACUUUCUCAGAGUGCUAUGGCACACCUGUGGGGUUUCCCAGCUCAUCCUGUCCAGCGGGACCAGGCGGAGGCCCAGCCCUGUUGUCGGAGUGACCUUCGAGCUCUGACCACAGGCCACGUGUGAGCAGGAGCCAUGAGUCAAUCAGAUGUCAUCCAGGGCGGUGGCUGAGGAGUGGUGACUGACCAGACGGGAAGGCGGGGAAGGGUCUAGAUUUGAAUGUGUGCAAAGGCUGGUAGACUCCUCCAGAUGGAUGAGCCCCGUCCUCUGGCCUCUGUGAGGCCAGACCCCUGCAACAGCCAAGUCCAGGGCCCCAAGUCAGCCCUGCACCUGGCCCAGGCCUCGGACCCUGAUGGGGCUCACCCCCUGAGCUCACCCUGGCUCUGCAGGGAGCUUUGUCGUGAUCCUUCGCGGGUGAGGAUUACGUAGAGACGUGACGAAGCACAAAAACCGGUGGUUGACGGGUUGCCAGGUGCCUACGUCAGAGCUCAUUAAAUUACACAUUAAAUAGAUGUAACUUGCUCUGUGUCAAUCACACCUAAUUCAAAUUGUAAAAAAUUAGACUCAAGAGUUUUAACACUUGGGAGUGUUUUAUCAGAUGCGCCUCAAGAUUCUAAAUUCAAAUGCACACUGAAUAAAACAUUUAGGUUUAUCUCCAAGCACAGUGGCUCACACCUGUAAUCCCAGCAUUUCG